AGCGGCAGGCUUACACAUGCAAGUCGAGGGGUAAGGUCCCGCUUGCGGGAUACACGACCGGCGCACGGGUGCGUAACGCGUAUGCAACCUGCCUCUGACCGGAGGAUAGCCUCGAGAAAUCGGGAUUAAUACUCCAUAACAUCUAACUACCGCAUGGUAGAAUGAUUAAAACUCCGGUGGUCAGAGAUGGGCAUGCGUGGCAUUAGCUAGUUGGUGAGGUAACGGCUCACCAAGGCAACGAUGCCUAGGGGGUCUUGAGAGGACGAUCCCCCACACUGGUACUGAGACACGGACCAGACUCCUACGGGAGGCAGCAGUGAGGAAUAUUGGUCAAUGGGCGCAAGCCUGAACCAGCCAUGCCGCGUGCAGGAUGACGGCUCUAGAAGUUGUAAACUGCUUUUGUAUGGGAAUAAACUGUCCGGUUCUCCGGGCAUUGAAGGUACCAUACGAAUAAGGAUCGGCUAACUCCGUGCCAGCAGCCGCGGUAAUACGGAGGAUCCAAGCGUUAUCCGGAUUUAUUGGGUUUAAAGGGUGUGCAGGCGGAGUAAUAAGUCAGUGGUGAAAUCUUGCGGCUCAACCGUAAAAUUGCCAUUGAUACUGUUAUUCUUGAGUUCAGUUGAGGUGGGCGGAAUGAGUAAUGUAGCGGUGAAAUGCUUAGAUAUUACUCAGAACACCGAUUGCGUAGGCAGCUCGCUAAACUGUAACUGACGCUGAGGCACGAAAGCGUGGGGAGCGAACAGGAUUAGAUACCCUGGUAGUCCACGCCGUAAACUAUGAAUACUGGAUGUGUGCGAUACACUGUACGCGUCUGAGCGAAAGCAUUAAGUAUUCCACCUGGGGAGUACGUCCGCAAGGAUGAAACUCAAAGGAAUUGAC
rnacentral:rRNA from 1 species